CCUACGGGUGGCAGCAGUGAGGAAUAUUGGUCAAUGGGCGUAAGCCUGAACCAGCCAAGUCGCGUGAGGGAUGAAGGCUCUAUGGAUCGUAAACUUCUUUUAUAAGGGAAUAAAGCGCGGGACGUGUCCCGUUUUGCAUGUACUUUAUGAAUAAGGAUCGGCUAACUCCGUGCCAGCAGCCGCGGUAAUACGGAGGAUCCGAGCGUUAUCCGGAUUUAUUGGGUUUAAAGGGUGCGUAGGCGGCCUUUUAAGUCAGCGGUGAAAGUCUGUGGCUCAACCAUCGCAUUGCCGUUGAAACUGGUGGGCUUGAGUGUGUUAGAGGCAGGCGGAAUGCGUGGUGUAGCGGUGAAAUGCAUAGAUAUCACGCAGAACCCCGAUUGCGAAGGCAGCCUGCCAGGCCAUGACUGACGCUGAUGCACGAAAGCGUGGGGAUCGAACAGGAUUAGAUACCCUAGUAGUC
rnacentral:rRNA from 1 species